GCCUUACAAUUUAUGUCAUUUUUGUUUUAGCUCCAGCUAUGGCGGCAAGCACUUUCCCACCUACCAACUUCUCACAGAUCAAGGAGGGUCUCUGAUGCUGCCAGGGCUACAGCUGAUCUUAUUCUUUUGAGUGAAAAUAGCAAUUGUGAGGUAGAAGCUUUGAAAGUUUUGAUUGACAGAUGUCUGUGGGAGGAUGCACUUCAUCUGUUGCACAACAACAGUGGCACAGAACAUCACAAGGAGUUGUUUGUCAUUCUUGUCAACAGUAUAACAAAGGACAAGCAAGCCUUCAAGGAACACUAUGCCUCCCUUUGGGAUUGCAUUCCUGACAGUUUCAGAAUAACAGAUGUCGUAAGGAUUUUCAGUCUUCAUACCAAACGCUUCCACCACACCCAAAGCAAUGAGGUCUUCACACAGACUCCAGAUGAUCUGCCUGUGUCUUGUAUUAAAGGGCAAGUCUUGAAGAUGUUCCUCAACGAAUCAGUACCAGACUGAUUGACUUCAUCAGGCAACACUUGUGCUAGAAUGAAUUUAACUUGUGAAUCAAUGGGGGGUUUUUGAUAAGUGUGAGUAGGGUAUUACAAUUCAUAGCUGCCAAGUCAAGAGCUGUUGCUGGCUUCACACCCACCUCAGCACAACCAUGGUUGAGACUGAGGCAAGGACAUUUUAAUUUUUGCACCUUUAGGUGUCUGGAAAUACUCAGAGACUUCAAAAACAUUUCUAAAUUUAGAACACACAAAACAAAGAGCUACAAAAAUGUAUAAUAGUAUUGUGUAUAAUAGGCCUAGGCCAAAACCAGGCAGUAAUUGCAACAUGGUAUCCUCUGUAUUUUUUUUUUAUGCGACUUAUUGGAAACAGUGUGUGAUUUCACAAGUUAUUGAUUGAGGAAAGCUAUCUGACAGGAGAGAGUGACUGUUUUUCUAAAGCCUCUAAGUCAUGGAGUCAUCCCCAAUGGUGCCACCACAUAGGAAAACAGGAGCUGAUGCAAAAAGGCUCUAAUGAAUUGGAUCAUUGUUCCGCAACCUCCAAACCCUGAAUUUUAAAUAUUAUAAUUUACCAAAAAUAAAAUAUUGAUUAAAAAAAAAACUCCUAUACAUUUUUAAUGAAGUUUUGUGAUUAUUUAUAAUAUUUUUGUGAUUAUUUAGGCAUGCUUAAUCAUUGAUUAAUUUAUUUAUAUUAAUUAUAUUAUUAUAUUAAUAUAAGAUAUUUUAACUAUUAUAAUGAUGUAUAUACUGUAAAUUAUAUUUCAAAAUGCAAUAAUGUUUGGUGCUAUGAGUUGUAAUUAAAAAUCAAUGAAGUUAUAAAAUGGACACUGAAUCAGUGGCGGAUCAAGGAAUUUGAAAUAGAGGGGCUAAGGGAGGAACCUUUACAGAUAAAGUGUCUAAACCACCUGAGUUCCACCAUGGUUGGGGCUGAGGUGAAAAUGUUACGGCUAUGACUCCUACAUAGCCAGGAAUAGAAAAUUUGAAUAUAAUUUUCUUUUGUUCUCCAUUUUAAAAAAAUGCUGAAUAAUUUAGGGGUGGGGGCUGAGCCAACUGUGCCCCUUGAAUUCGCCUAUGUGAAUAUUAGAAAGUGUCAAAACAAAACUGAAAGAUACUUUAAGCCAAAACAGUAAAAUAAAAAAAUUCACACUGAGUAUUGGUUUACUUGAAGAAACUUUCUCUACAAAAACAGCAAUAUACUCAACUUUGGAAAUCUAUUGUUAAAUGUUUGUUUUUGCAGUUACAUUAUUUUGUUGUCAAAUGUUGAUUAAAUUAAAUCACAUGAAAUAAAAAUAUAUUUUUCAUGGUA